ACACGAAGCUGGAAUCGCUAGUAAUCGUGAAUCAGAAUGUCACGGUGAAUACGUUCCCGGGUCUUGUACACACCGCCCGUCACACCAUGGGAGUCAGCAACGCCCGAAGUCAGUGACCUAACCGAGAGGGAGGAGCUGCCGAAGGCGGGGCCGGUAACUGGGGUGAAGUCGUAACAAGGUAAC
rnacentral:rRNA from 1 species